rnacentral:rRNA from 1 species
AGGAUGAACGCUGGCGGCGUGCCUAACACAUGCAAGCCGAACGUCCUGUCUCGCAAGAGGCAGGGAGUGGCGGACGGGUGAGUACCACGUGGGUCAUCUACCGUGAGGUGAGGAAUACCGGCGAGAAAUCGCCGACAAGACCGCAUAGGCUCGAUGCAAGUCGAGCAAAGCUCUUUCGAGAGAGGGAGCGCCACACGAGGAGCCUGCGCCCGAUUAGCUAGCUGGUGGAGUAAUGGUUCACCAGGGCGACGAUCGGUAGCUGGUCUGAGAGGACGAUCAGCCACACUGGGAUUGAGAACGGCCCAGACUCCUACGGGGGGCAGCAGUGAGGAAUUUUCGCAAUGGGGGCAACCCUGAACGAGCAACGCCGCGUGCAGGAAGAAGGUUUUCGGAUCGUAAACUGCUUUUCUCGGGGAAGAGAACGGACGGUACCCGAGGAAUCAGCCCGGCUAACUACGUGCCAGCAGCCGCGGU